UGGGGGAUAUUGCACAAUGGGCGAAAGCCUGAUGCAGCGACGCCGCGUGGGGGAUGAAGGCCUUCGGGUUGUAAACUUCUUUUGCUCUGAACAAGGCAUGCCUUUGGGGUGUGUUGAGUGUAGGGGUUGAUUAGCGCCGGCUAACUACGUGCCAGCAGCCGCGGUAAUACGUAGGGCGCGAGCGUUGUCCGGAAUUAUUGGGCGUAAAGGGCUUGUAGGUGGCUGGUUGCGUCUGUCGUGAAAGCUCAUGGCUUAACUGUGGGUUUGCGGUGGGUACGGGUUGGCUUGAGUGCAGUAGGGGAGGCUGGAAUUCCUGGUGUAGCGGUGGAAUGCGCAGAUAUCAGGAGGAAUACCGGUGGCGAAGGCGGGUCUCUGGGCUGUUACUGACGCUGAGGAGCGAAAGCGUGGGGAGCGAACAGG
rnacentral:rRNA from 1 species